rnacentral:rRNA from 1 species
UACGUAGGGUGCGAGCGUUAAUCGGAAUUACUGGGCGUAAAGCGUGCGCAGGCGGUGAUGUAAGACAGUUGUGAAAUCCCCGAGCUCAACUUGGGAAUUGCAAUGGAUACUGGCAGGCUGGAGUAUGGUAGAGGAAGGUGGAAUUCCCGGUGUAGCAGUGAAAUGCGUAGAGAUCGGGAGGAACACCAGUGGCGAAGGCGGCCUUCUGGGCCAAUACUGACGCUCAUGCACGAAAGCGUGGGGAGCAAACAGG